CUCCGUGCUUGCGAGGAGUAAAUGGCGGGAUGCCACGUAAAAUAACUGGGCACCCGCCAUAUCUCCACUUUUCUUAAACAGGGUCAUUUAUUACAGUGAGCAUUAAGAGUGAAUUUUAAGGUCUAAAUAGACUAAAUGGAAAAAUUCUCUGUCAGCUAUGCUUCAAGUUCGUCUACUCUGGUCUUAAAUUUGAAAUUCACUUUGAAUUCUGACCUUAGUAACUAACCCUGCAAGAGUUAUAUUCUACCCCGUCCUUUCUCA